AUUGAACGCUGGCGGCAUGCCUUACACAUGCAAGUCGAACGGCAGCGGACCUUCGGGUGCCGGCGAGUGGCGAACGGGUGAGUAAUGUAUCGGAACGUACCUUUCAGUGGGGGAUAACGUAGCGAAAGUUACGCUAAUACCGCAUAUUCUGUGAGCAGGAAAGCAGGGGAUCGCAAGACCUUGCGCUGAUUGAGCGGCCGAUAUCAAAUUAGCUAGUUGGUGAGGUAAAGGCUCACCAAGGCGACGAUCUGUAGCGGGUCUGAGCGGAUGAUCCGCCACACUGGAACUGAGACACGGUCCAGACUCCUACGGGAGGCAGCAGUGGGGAAUUUUGGACAAUGGGGGCAACCCUGAUCCAGCCAUGCCGCGUGAGUGAAGAAGGCCUUCGGGUUGUAAAGCUCUUUCGUCCGGGAAGAAAUCGCAUCAGCUAAUACCUGGUGUGGAUGACGGUACCGGAAUAAGAAGCACCGGCUAACUACGUGCCAGCCGCCGCCGUAAUAC
rnacentral:rRNA from 1 species